GAUGAACGCUGGCGGCGUGCCUAAUACAUGCAAGUCGAGCGAACAGACGAGGAGCUUGCUCCUCUGACGUUAGCGGCGGACGGGUGAGUAACACGUGGAUAACCUACCUAUAAGACUGGGAUAACUUCGGGAAACCGGAGCUAAUACCGGAUAAUAUAUUGAACCGCAUGGUUCAAUAGUGAAAGACGGUUUUGCUGUCACUUAUAGAUGGAUCCGCGCCGCAUUAGCUAGUUGGGAAGGUAACGGCUUACCAAGGCAACGAUGCGUAGCCGAGCUGAGCGGGUGAGCGGGCACCCGGGAACGGAGACACGGACCGGCCCACCAGGAGCGGCAGAGGUUAGGCACCUUCCGCCAUGGGCCAAAGCUUCACAGAGCGGGGGCGCUGGAUGGCUGAAGGGCUUGGGGGCGUAAAACUCUGUGAGUAGGGAAGACCAAAUGUGUAAGCAACUACACACGUCUUGACGGUACCUAAUCAAAAAGCCACGGCUGACUACGUU
rnacentral:rRNA from 1 species